rnacentral:lncRNA from 10 species
ACAGAGAUGGCUGGAACAAAAAAACUUCAGAGGCGGUGCAUGUUGGAAACAUCUGAAGAGAAGUAUGACAAAGAGAGGACUUUUAAGAUAAGUGAGACACCUGAGAGCAAGUGUUGUGGGGGCUGUUGUACAGCAAGAGGAUUCAGUCAAAAUUUCUGUAGCCUAAAAUGUCAAAAAUUUUAAUGUGCAGUAAUUCCGGGGAAAUACCUUAAAAUAAAGAAGAAGAGUGCAGAUAACAGCUGGGCUCUAAUGAUGAAAAUGGCAGCCUUGUAAAAGAGCCAGUUCUCUAUAAUUAGAAGGGUGGAAGUAAAAGAAGUUGCAGGACUGGUGUGACAUUGAAGGGACUCUGUCUAUGGCUGGGGGCUUGCACUGCAUCAUCUCUGAAAUCUUUCCAACUCUAAGGCUCUGAUUCUAUAUGUGCCAGUCUCCAGUUCACCUGAGACUCUCAAUUCACUGGAUAGCAUCUGUCUAUUGACUACUUCUGCUGGAAUUCCCACCAAUUUUUUAGUAGGAAAAACUAUUUGGAUUUUUUUUUUAAUUCUUUGCUUCUACCCAUAGAUCUCCAGCACAGAAAGCGCCAGGAGCAAAUCAAAGAAGCUUCUAUUAUGGUUUGCUUCUAAGAAAUUCUACUUGGUCCCACCUCCUUGACUCAGAUGAAUUUCAAAUGCCCAUAUCCGGUUCUAAAGCAAAGUUGCAUUGGAAUUUUUACUGAAAUUUUAUUCUAAUGAUCCACUAGUAUGGGGAAAAUUGACAUCUUUAUAGUAUUGAAUGUUCCAUGCAGAAACAAGGUAUGUCACUUCAUUUAUUCAGAUAAAAUAUUUUAUAUAGUCUUCACAAAUGUAGAUUUGCACAUAACAAGAGUUAGGUUUAUUCCUGGAUUAAUAUAUAUAAGGGAAUAAAUAAUCUUUAAAUACAUUUAUCUUUUUUUUUUUUUUUUUUUUUUGAGACAGAGUCUUGCUCUGUUGCCCAGGAGUCCAGUGGCGCGAUCUCAGCUCACUGCAAGUUCCACCUCCCAGGUUCAAGCAAUUCUCCUGCCUUAGCCUCCUGAGCAGCUGGGAUUACAGGCACAUGCCACCAUGUAUGGCUAAUUUUUCUAUCUUUAGUAGAGACGGGGUUUUGCCAUGUUGGCCAGACUAGUCUCAAACUGUCAACCUCAGGUGAUCCACCAGCUUCGGCCUGCCAAAGUGCUGGGAUUACAGGCAUGAGCCACUGCACCCGGCCUAUAUUUAUCUUCAUAUAUAUAUUUACAUAUAUACACAAAUACAUAUACACAUAUUUAUAUAUAUACAUAUAUUUACAUAUGUACUAUAUAUGUAAAUAUAUAUAUCCUUUUCCAAAUCAUCAUUCUAACUGAUUAUUGCUGAUAUAUGAUAGCUACUACUUUAAAAGUAUUUUUCUUCCAAUUAAGCGGCUUACCAGAGUCUCAUAAGAUCUAAUCAUUUUAUGAAUUAUCUUUGGAGCUAUAGAGCUUUUAUUUGGCAAAAUUCAUUUAUUAAAAAUUCUACUUUCAACUAUGAAGCUAAUAAGCACUCAAUAAAGAAAAUUAGAAAUCUAGAAAAAAAUUACCCCAACAACUGAUAACGACUAGUAUCAUUUUGCUUGCAUCAGUUUUCAUUCUUUUUAUAUUGCAUAAUUUCUUUUACAUAAUUGUAAUCACACAGUAUAACUAACUGGGUGUACUUUCUAAAAGAAUAAAUGCCUUCAAUAUGCAAAGCUCUUUUGCUGGGAGUUUGUUUUAUAAGGAGCUGUGUGCUUCUCACUAAUGUGCAGAAAUGCUAAUGUAAGUUCUGCUACUGAGAGUUACUGAGUUCAGUUUGGUCCCUUCUUUUGCUGCAGGCCUGGCUUGGUGACAUUUCUACCACCCAAUUAUAGUUCAGCGUAACAAUCUCUCUCUCUUUGCACCACACAUAGCUGCUGACCUCACUGCACACUCAGCCGUUCCAUUUUAGGCUUCAGCCAGAAUCACUCUUACAGCACAGGUGAGGUGGAGAUUGCUAGGGGUUUACAAUUCCAUUUAGAACGCUGAAUAGAUCUCGAUCCACAUAAUUGAGAUUUCUUAAGAUAAUUUUCUAAGAACAUUUCUCAUGUGACUUGUUUACACAAGUGUGUACACAGUUUGGGUUUGGAUGGGUUGAUUUGCUUUUUCUUCUGGAUUAAAAUUUUAUAUCCUCACUUGUUCAUUUUGUUACCUAUAUGAAAUACUCUUUCUUUCCAUAACUUUCUACUUAUUCACCUUAACAGAGGAUUUCUCUGCCUUCUUAUAUAAAAUAGAAACCCCAGCUCUAAUUCCCCUGGCCAGACCCACCUCAGGCUUAUUCAGGGCUGGACAAAGGUAAAAAUGGAGGCCCAUAUAUCCUAUGUCUAAGGUCCAGUAGGGCUUCAUGAAUGCACAUGUUAACACCUCAGUCAGUCCGUCCUAGCGCCCUCAACAUGCCUCUUCCAAAAGCUGCCUUUGACUUCCCACGGGGCCUACAGGCACACAGACCUGUGGUGAGCUUCAUUUUGAAAGGAUGAGGCCAAUCAGGCCCUCUCUUAGUGCAGG